UUCUUAAAAAACAGCACUUUACUGCUGAUCAACUGUCUAAAGUAUCAUGAAUAACAGUUUCAUGCAGUAUUUUUUGAAUUCUGGGAAGAGCAAUUUCACCUGAUCUGCACAUGUGAGGCUGGAUCCGUUCUUUUAUUCAUCCAUCCCCAUCUUACUGAUUAUUUGGUGAGUAGUAAUUUUAUUUAAUUAAUAAAUCUGUGCAAAGUUUAUCAGUGAUGUUUCCAGUUAGUUUGCAUUACAGAAUAUGUGCAUGUCAUGAUAGAGGGAUUCAACAGCUAGCUAGAAUUUCACAGAUGAUUGCACAUUAAUCGGACAACACAAGGAGCUCAUUUUAAUUUCUAUGUAUUCAAGUUAAUAUCUAAGUUAAUGUGCUGAUACAUGUAUUUUGCCAGUGAAUUCAUGCAUAACGACGGUGUAUACAUUUUACAGUCUAUGGAAGUCCCUUCAACAUUUAAAGUAACAUUAAGACUUCAGUGCACGUUGGUUAUUGGGUGGUAAUUCAGCAGAGCAGAUACAAAAUUGAAGGCAAGUUUAUUUACUAGCUAACUAGUGUUUUUGAAUGAUAUCUGAAAACCACAUGUUCUAUAGAUCAGAUGGUCAGAAUAUUCAUAAUUGAUCAAAAAACGGUUUCUCAACCAGUAAUGCACACCACUCAACACAAUUCAUUUCAAACAUUGACUAAAAAUCCAUGAAGUUGACUGAGGAAAAUUCUUUCUAAGUUUCAGGUGAAACAGCAGGAAGCUAUUGGCGCUGGAUGGUCAGCCUUGAGGGCCACUUCAUAUGUGAGGGGAUCCAGCCCACCUUCUUGAUGGGGCUUGCUGCAUUAUUUUCCACCUUCUACACCUGCACGCUCAAAUUAAUCUCAAGGUGCACCGUAGGAAUAAACCCUGAGAGAGGCACCAAGGAUGGACAGGGCAAAGUCUUCUCAAAGAAAACUGGCAAAUUCACGAGCUACAAGACAAGACUACAACCGUAUAUCCACAUGUAUCCACUCUGCUGAUGGGACUCAUGGACUUGAGUGGGACUUCAUUUAAAAUGUCAGCGGGCUACCAAGGCUGGAUUGAGAGAACUGGUGUCUUUGAGUGGACCAUAAGUCAAAGUAACUCACUCCCCCAUUAUCGCCCAAUACUUGGACUUCCACACUUAUCCAUGUGCCUUGUUAGAGCCUGAAUAGUCAUACUUGGACAUGAUGUCACAUGUCUGGUGGUGUUGGUGCUCAUUAGUAUAUAGACACAU